rnacentral:rRNA from 1 species
AUGAACGCUGGCGGCGUGCUUAACACAUGCAAGUCGAACGAUGAAGCCCAGCUUGCUGGGUGGAUUAGUGGCGAACGGGUGAGUAACACGUGAGUAACCUGCCCUUGACUCUGGGAUAAGCCUGGGAAACUGGGUCUAAUACUGGAUAUGACUUCUCAUCGCAUGGUGGGGGGUGGAAAGAUUUAUUGGUCUUGGAUGGACUCGCGGCCUAUCAGCUUUUUGGUGAGGUAAUGGCUCACCAAGGCGACGACGGGUAGCCGGCCUGAGAGGGUGACCGGCCACACUGGGACUGAGACACGGCCCAGACUCCUACGGGAGGCAGCAGUGGGGAAUAUUGCACAAUGGGCGCAAGCCUGAUGCAGCGACGCCGCGUGAGGGAUGACGGCCUUCGGGUUGUAAACCUCUUUCAGUAGGGAAGAAGCGAGAGUGACGGUACCUGCAGAAGAAGCGCCGGCUAACUACGUG